rnacentral:rRNA from 1 species
GAUGAACGCUGACAGAAUGCUUAACACAUGCAAGUCAUUGGCGAAGCUGCGCUUGCGCAGUCUAGCCAAGGCGGACGGGUGAGUAACGCGUAAGGAACUUGCCCUGCAGACAGGGAUAACAGACGGAAACGACUGAUAACACCUGGUAUUGUCAGGCUGGCGCAUGCCGGCCUGAUGAAAGGAGACGCUGCAGGAGAGCCUUGCGUCCUAUUAGCUAGUUGGUGGGGUAACGGCCCACCAAGGCGAUGAUAGGUAGCCGGCCUGAGAGGGUGAACGGCCACAAGGGGAAUGAGAUACGGCCCUUACUCCUACGGGAGGAAGCAGUGGGGAAUAUUGGACAAUGGGGGCAACCCUGAUCCAGCAAUUCUGUGUGCAAGAAGAAGGUUUUCGGAUUGUAAAGUGCUUUCAGCAGGGAAGAAGAAAGUGACGGUACCUGCAGAAGAAGCGACGGCUAAAUACGUG